rnacentral:rRNA from 8 species
UAGACCGCCUGGGGAGUACGGCCGCAAGGUUAAAACUCAAAUGAAUUGACGGGGGCCCGCACAAGCGGUGGAGCAUGUGGUUUAAUUCGAUGCAACGCGAAGAACCUUACCUGGUCUUGACAUCCACAGAACUUUCCAGAGAUGGAUUGGUGCCUUCGGGAACUGUGAGACAGGUGCUGCAUGGCUGUCGUCAGCUCGUGUUGUGAAAUGUUGGGUUAAGUCCCGCAACGAGCGCAACCCUUAUCCUUUGUUGCCAGCGAUUAGGUCGGGAACUCAAAGGAGACUGCCAGUGAUAAACUGGAGGAAGGUGGGGAUGACGUCAAGUCAUCAUGGCCCUUACGACCAGGGCUACACACGUGCUACAAUGGCGCAUACAAAGAGAAGCGACCUCGCGAGAGCAAGCGGACCUCAUAAAGUGCGUCGUAGUCCGGAUUGGAGUCUGCAACUCGACUCCAUGAAGUCGGAAUCGCUAGUAAUCGUGGAUCAGAAUGCCACGGUGAAUACGUUCCCGGGCCUUGUACACACCGCCCGUCACACCAUGGGAGUGGGUUGCAAAAGAAGUAGGUAGCUUAACCUUCGGGAGGGCGCUUACCACUUUGUGAUUCAUGACUGGGGUGAAGUCGUAACAAGGUAACCGUAGGGGAACCUGCGGUUGGAUCACCUCCUUACCUUAAAGAAGC